rnacentral:tRNA from 1 species
GGUGGCUCAGUGGUAGAGCGCUUGCCUUGCAUGCAUGAGAUGAGACCCUGGGUUCAAUUCCUCAGCACCA